AUUUGUCUGGUUAAUUCCGAUAACGAACGAGACCUUAACCUGCUAACUAGAUACUUUUAUUCUAUAAUUGUCAUCUUCUUAGAGGGACUAUGUAAUUAAAAUACAUGGAAGUUUGAGGCAAUAACAGGUCAGUGAUGCCCUUAUAUGUCCUGGGCUGCACGCGUGCUACACUGAUGCAUACAACAAGUGCCUAACCGGACAUGGUACGGCAAUCUCGAAUAUGCAUCGUGAUGGGGAUAGAUCUUUGCAAUUAUAGAUCUUGAACGAGGAAUUCCUAGUAAGUGCAAGUCAUCAUCUUGCAUUGAUUAUGUCCCUGCCCUUUGUACACACCGCCCGUCGCUCCUACCGAUACCGGGUGAUCCGGUGAACCUUUUGGACUCAUUGAGAAAGAUAAGUAAACCAUAUCACCUAGAGGAAGGAGAAGUCGUAACAAGGUUUCCGUAGGUGAACCUGCRGAAGGAUCA
rnacentral:rRNA from 1 species